rnacentral:rRNA from 1 species
UUGGAGGGCAAGUCUGGUGCCCGCAGCCGCGGUAAUUCCAGCUCCAAUAGCGUAUAUUAAAGUUGUUGCAGUUAAAAAGCUCGUAGUUGAAUUUCGGGAUCAAUUUGCUGGUCGUGCCUCUGGUACGUACUGGUAUUAUUGGUUUCUCCCUUCUGACGAACCAUGAUGUCAUUAACUUGAUGUCGUGGAGAAUCAGGACUGUUACUUUGAAAAAAUUAGAGUGUCUAAAGCAGGCUCACGCUUGAAUACAUUAGCAUGGAAUAACGGAAUAGGACGUUUGAUUCUAUUUUGUUGGUUUCUAGGAUCGACGUAAUGAUUAAUAGGGAUAGUUGGGGGCAUUAGUAUUCAAUUGUCAGAGGUGAAAUUCUUGGAUUUAUUGAAGACUAACUACUGCGAAAGCAUUUGCCAAGGAUGUUUUCAUUAAUCAAGAACGAAAGUUAGGGGAUCGAAGACAAUCAGAUACCGUCGUAGUCUUAACCAUAAACUAUGCCGACUAGGGAUCGGAUGAUGUUAAUUUUUUAAUGACUCAUUCGGCGCCUUACGGGAAACCAAAGUGUUUGGGUUC